GACGAACGCUGGCGGCGUGCUUAACACAUGCAAGUCGAACGGAAAGGCCCCUUUGGGGGUACUCGAGUGGCGAACGGGUGAGUAACACGUGAGUAACCUGCCCUUGACUUCGGGAUAACUUCAGGAAACUGGGGCUAAUACCGGAUAGGAAUCCUUGCUGCAUGGUGGGGGUUGGAAAGCUUCGGCGGUUUUGGAUGGACUCGCGGCGUAUCAGCUUGUUGGUGGGGUAGUGGCUUACCAAGGCUUUGACGGGUAGCCGGCCUGAGAGGGCGACCGGCCACAUUGGGACUGAGAUACGGCCCAGACUCCUACGGGAGGCAGCAGUGGGGAAUAUUGCACAAUGGGCGGAAGCCGGAUGCAGCAACGCCGCGUGCGGGAUGACGGCCUUCGGGUUGUAAACCGCUUUCAGCAGGGGCGAAGCUUGUGGUGACGGUACCUGCAGAAGAAGCACCGGCUAACUACGUG
rnacentral:rRNA from 1 species